GAUGAGCGCUGGCGGCGUGCCUAAUACAUGCAAGUCGAGCGAACAGACGAGGAGCUUGCUCCUCUGACGUUAGCGGCGGACGGGUGAGUAACACGUGGAUAACCUACCUAUAAGACUGGGAUAACUUCGGGAAACCGGAGCUAAUACCGGAUAAUAUAUUGAACCGCAUGGUUCAAUAGUGAAAGACGGUUUUGCUGUCACUUAUAGAUGGAUCCGAGCCGCAUUAGCUAGUUGGUAAGGUAACGGCUUACCAAGGCAACGAUGCGUAGCCGACCUGAGAGGGUGAUCGGCCACACUGGAACUGAGACACGGUCCAGACUCCUACGGGAGGCAGCAGUAGGGAAUAUUCCGCAAUGGGCGAAAGCCUGACGGAGCAACGCCGCGUGAGUGAUGAAGGUCUUCGGAUCGUAAAACUCUGUUAUUAGGGAAGAAAAAAUGUGUAAGUAACUAUGCACGUCUUGACGGUACCUAAUCAGAAAGCAACGGCUAACUACGUG
rnacentral:rRNA from 1 species